ACGGGGUGCAGCAGGCGCGAAACCUCCACAAUUCACGCAAGUGAGAUGGGGUUACCUCGAGUGCUAUCUGAAGAAGGUGGCUUUUCCAUGGUGUAAUGAGCCGUGGGAAUAAGGGGGGGGCAAGACUGGUGUCAGCCGCCGCGGUAACACCAGCCCCCCGAGUGGUGGGGAUGAUUAUUUGGCCUAAAGCGUCCGUAGCCAGCUCGGUAAAUCUCUCGUUAAAUCCAGCGUCCUAAGCGUUGGGCUGCGAGGGAAACUGCCGAACUAGAGGGUGGGAGAGGUCAGCGGUAUUCCUGGGGUAGGGGCGAAAUCCAUUGAUCCCAGGAGGACCACCAGUGGCGAAGGCUGCUGACUAGAACACGCCUGACGGUGAGGGACGAAAGCUGGGGUAGCGAAUCGGAUUAGAUACCCGAGUAGUCCCAGCCGUAAACGAUGCAGGCUAGGUGUUGGGUCGGCCAUGCGCCGCCUCAGUGCCACAGGGAAGCCAUUAAGCCUGCCGCCUGGGAGUACGCCGCAAGGC
rnacentral:rRNA from 1 species